AUUGAACGCUGGCGGCAGGCCUCACACAUGCACGUCGAGCGAGCGGCGGACGGGUGCGUAAUGUUUGGGGAUCUGUCUGAUAGAGGGGGAUAACUACUGGAAACUGUGGCUAAUACCGCUUACUAUAGGAUUAACCCAUAUGGGAUUAGCUAGUAGGUGGGGUAAAGGCUCACCUAGGCCACGAUCUCUAGCUGGUCUGAGAGGAUGAUCAGCCACACUGGGACGUAUACACGGCCCGGACUCCACCGGGAGGCAGCAGUGGUGAAGAUGGCACAAGGGGGGUAAGACUGACGCAGCCAUGCCGCGUGUAUGAAGAAGUCCUUAGGGUUGUAAAGUACUUUCAGCGGGGAGGCGUUACCCGCAGAAGAAGCACCGGCUAACACCGUGCCAGCAGCCGCGGUAAUUC
rnacentral:rRNA from 1 species